CACUCCUACGGGAGGCAGCAGUGGGGAAUUUUGGACAAUGGGCGAAAGCCUGAUCCAGCAAUGCCGCGUGUGUGAAGAAGGCCUUCGGGUUGUAAAGCACUUUUGUCAGGAAAGAAAUCCUUGGCUCUAAUACAGUCGGGGGAUGACGGUACCGGAAGAAUAAGCACCGGCUAACUACGUGCCAGCAGCCGCGGUAAUACGUAGGGUGCGAGCGUUAAUCGGAAUUACUGGGCGUAAAGCGUGCGCAGGCGGUUUGCUAAGACCGAUGUGAAAUCCCCGGGCUCAACCUGGGAACUGCAUUGGUGACUGGCAGGCUAGAGUAUGGCAGAGGGGGGUAGAAUUCCACGUGUAGCAGUGAAAUGCGUAGAGAUGUGGAGGAAUACCGAUGGCGAAGGCAGCCCCCUGGGCCAAUACUGACGCUCAGGCACGAAAGCGUGGGGAGCAAACAGGAUUAGAAACCCUGGUAGUCCCAUGAU
rnacentral:rRNA from 1 species